rnacentral:rRNA from 1 species
AGAGUUUGAUCCUGGCUCAGGACGAACGCUGGCGGCGUGCCUAAUACAUGCAAGUCGAACGAAGCUUUCUUUCACCGAAUGCUUACAUUCACCGAAAGAAGCUUAGUGGCGAACGGGUGAGUAACACGUAGGCAACCUGCCCAAAAGAGGGGGAUAACACUUGGAAACAGGUGCUAAUACCGCAUAACCAUGAACACCGCAUGAUGUUCAUGUAAAAGACGGCUUUUGCUGUCACUUUUGGAUGGGCCUGCGGCGUAUUAACUUGUUGGUGGGGUAACGGCCUACCAAGGUGAUGAUACGUAGCCGAACUGAGAGGUUGAUCGGCCACAUUGGGACUGAGACACGGCCCAAACUCCUACGGGAGGCAGCAGUAGGGAAUCUUCCACAAUGGACGAAAGUCUGAUGGAGCAACGCCGCGUGAAUGAAGAAGGCCUUCGGGUCGUAAAAUUCUGUUGUCAGAGAAGAACGUGCGUGAGAGUAACUGUUCACGUAUUGACGGUAUCUGACCAGAAAGCCACGGCUAACUACGUGCCAGCAGCCGCGGUAAUACAUAGGUGGCGCGUUGUCCGGAUUUAUUGGGCGUAAAGGGAACGCAGGCGGUCUUUUAAGUCUGAUGUGAAAGCCUUCGGCUUAACCGAAGUAGUGCAUUGGAAACUGGAAGACUUGAGUGCAGAAGAGGAGAGUGGAACUCCAUGUGUAGCGGUGAAAUGCGUAGAUAUAUGGAAGAACACCAGUGGCGAAAGCGGCUCUCUGGUCUGUAACUGACGCUGAGGUUCGAAAGCGUGGGUAGCAAACAGGAUUAGAUACCCUGGUAGUCCACGCCGUAAACGAUGAGUGCUAAGUGUUGGAGGGUUUCCGCCCUUCAGUGCUGCAGCUAACGCAUUAAGCACUCCGCCUGGGGAGUACGGUCGCAAGACUGAAACUCAAAGGAAUUGACGGGGGCCCGCACAAGCGGUGGAGCAUGUGGUUUAAUUCGUAGCAACGCGAAGAACCUUACCAGGUCUUGACAUCUUCUGACAAUUCCAGAGAUGGAACGUUCCCUUCGGGGACAGAAUGACAGGUGGUGCAUGGUUGUCGUCAGCUCGUGUCGUGAGAUGUUGGGUUAAGUCCCGCAACGAGCGCAACCCUUAUUGUCAGUUGCCAUCAUUAAGUUGGGCACUCUGGCGAGACUGCCGGUGACAAACCGGAGGAAGGUGGGGAUGACGUCAAAUCAUCAUGCCCCUUAUGACCUGGGCUACACACGUGCUACAAUGGACGGUACAACGAGUCGCUAACUCGCGAGGGCAAGCUAAUCUCUUAAAGCCGUUCUCAGUUCGGAUUGCAGGCUGCAACUCGCCUGCAUGAAGUCGGAAUCGCUAGUAAUCGCGAAUCAGCAUGUCGCGGUGAAUACGUUCCCGGGCCUUGUACACACCGCCCGUCACACCAUGAGAGUUUGUAACACCCAAAGUCGGUGGGGUAACCUUUUGGAGCCAGCCGCCUAAGGUGGGACAGAUGAUUGGGGUGAAGUCGGAACAAGGUA